GGAUGUGAGGGCGAUCUGGCUGUGACAUCUGUCACCCAUUGAUUGCCAGGGUUGAUUCGGCUGAUCUGGGGGGCUAGGCGGGUGUCCCCUUCCUCCUUCAACGCUCCAUGUGCAUCCCUCCCGAAGCUGCGCGCUUGGUCAAAGAGGACGACCAUCCCCGAUAGAGGAGGACUGUUCCUUGGUCAAGGGUAUACGAGUAGCUGCGCUCCCCUGCUAGAACCUCCAAACAAACUCCAGGGCCCAAAUAAUGCUUCUACUUCAACCUCCCCAGUAAUUGGGACCACAGGUGCCAACCACCAUGUCCAGCAGCACAGGCUUUUUAU
rnacentral:snRNA from 1 species